rnacentral:rRNA from 1 species
UACGGAGGGAGCUAGCGUUGUUCGGAAUUACUGGGCGUAAAGCGCGCGUAGGCGGCUUUGUAAGUUAGAGGUGAAAGCCCGGAGCUCAACUCCGGAACUGCCUUUAAAAACUGCAUCGCUUGAAUCCAGGAGAGGUGAGUGGAAUUCCGAGUGUAGAGGUGAAAAUUCGUAGAUAUUCGGAAGAACACCAGUGGCGAAGGCGGCUCACUGGACUGGGUAUUUGACGCUGAGGGUGCGAAAAAGCGUGGGGGGAGCAAAACAGG